rnacentral:tRNA from 1 species
UAAAGAAUAGUGUAGUGGGGGCACGAAGGGUUUUGAUCCCUUAAGGGUAGGUUCAAGUCCUAUUUUUUUAA